rnacentral:tRNA from 1 species
GGGGGUGUAGCUCAGUUGGGAGAGCGCGGCGUUCGCAACGCCGAGGUCACGGGUUCGAAUCCCGUCACCUCCACCA